rnacentral:rRNA from 1 species
CCGAGGAGUCCCAGUCGGCUGCGAGUCGUUGGAGCCGAUCGAAUCGCGCGAACUCCGACGGCACAGUGAAAGCGAGAACGUGACGCGCGUCGUCUUGGUCGUCGUCAAAAAGCGGCCAGGGCGCACCGAAGCAUCGUUCCCGGGUCGGUCACGGCGCGCGUCGCUUCGUCGGUGGCGGCGGCGGAGGCUUCGGAGGCAGCGUGCGUCGUCGUCGUCGUUUUCUCAACGGCGACGGCGGCUGCUGCUGCCAUCGUUGUCGUUACCGUCGCCGUCGCUGCUGCACGCGCGUUCCGACUCAGGUGUAGCAGGCGGCCGGGGACCCGAAAGAUGGCGAUCCACGCCCGGUCGGGACGAAGCCAGAGGAAACUCUGGUGGAAGUCCGAAGCGCCUCUGACGUGCAAAUCGAUCGUCGGAACCGGGUGUAGGGGCGAAAGACCAAUCGAGCCGUCUA